rnacentral:rRNA from 1 species
UACGUAGGGGGCUAGCGUUGUCCGGAAUCAUUGGGCGUAAAGCGCGUGUAGGCGGCCCGAUAAGUCCGCUGUGAAAGUCCAGGGCUCAACCCUGGGAUGCCGGUGGAUACUGUCGGGCUCGAGUCCGGAAGAGGCGAGUGGAAUUCCUGGUGUAGCGGUGAAAUGCGCAGAUAUCAGGAGGAACACCAAUGGCGAAGGCGGUUCUCUGGAACGCAACUGACGCUGAGACGCGAAAGCGUGGGGAGCAAACAGG